GAGUUUGAUCCUGGCUCAGGAUGAACGCUGGCGGCGUGCUUAACACAUGCAAGUCGAACGGGAUGGUACAGGCGGAAGAUUUCGGUCGGACCAAGUGCAUGCCUAGUGGCGGACGGGUGAGUAACGCGUGGGUAACCUGCCUUACACAGGGGGAUAACACUUAGAAAUAGGUGCUAAUACCGCAUGAGCGCACAGGACCGCAUGGUCGAGUGUGAAAAACUGAGGUGGUGUAAGAUGGACCCGCGUCUGAUUAGCUAGUUGGUGAGGUAACGGCCCACCAAGGCGACGAUCAGUAGCCGGCCUGAGAGGGUGGACGGCCACAUUGGGACUGA
rnacentral:rRNA from 1 species